rnacentral:rRNA from 1 species
AGAGUUUGAUCCUGGCUCAGGACGAACGCUGGCGGCGUGCUUAACACAUGCAAGUCGAACGAUGAACUGGGUGCUUGCACCUGGGGAUUAGUGGCGAACGGGUGAGUAACACGUGAGUAACCUGCCCUGGACUCUGGGAUAACCCCGAGAAAUCGGAGCUAAUACCGGAUAGGACCUGGAACCGCAUGGUUUUGGGUGGAAAGUUUUUCGGUCUGGGAUGGACUCGCGGCCUAUCAGCUUGUUGGUGAGGUAAUGGCUCACCAAGGCGUCGACGGGUAGCCGGCCUGAGAGGGUGACCGGCCACACUGGGACUGAGACACGGCCCAGACUCCUACGGGAGGCAGCAGUGGGGAAUAUUGCACAAUGGGCGCAAGCCUGAUGCAGCAACGCCGCGUGAGGGAUGACGGCCUUCGGGUUGUAAACCUCUUUUAGUAGGGAAGAAGGGCUUCGGCUUGACGGUACCUGCAGAAAAAGCACCGGCUAACUACGUGCCAGCAGCCGCGGUAAUACGUAGGGUGCGAGCGUUGUCCGGAAUUAUUGGGCGUAAAGAGCUCGUAGGCGGUUUGUCACGUCUGCUGUGAAAUCCCGAGGCUCAACCUCGGGCCUGCAGUGGGUACGGGCAGACUGGAGUGCGGUAGGGGAGAAUGGAAUUCCUGGUGUAGCGGUGGAAUGCGCAGAUAUCAGGAGGAACACCGAUGGCGAAGGCAGUUCUCUGGGCCGUAACUGACGCUGAGGAGCGAAAGCGUGGGGAGCGAACAGGAUUAGAUACCCUGGUAGUCCACGCCGUAAACGUUGGGCGCUAGAUGUGGGGACCUUUCCACGGUUUCCGUGUCGUAGCUAACGCAUUAAGCGCCCCGCCUGGGGAGUACGGCCGCAAGGCUAAAACUUAAAGGAAUUGACGG